CUAUUCCUAGGGGGGCAGCAGUGGGGAAUAUUGCACAAUGGGGGAAACCCUGAUGCAGCGACGCCGCGUGAGCGAAGAAGUAUUUCGGUAUGUAAAGCUCUAUCAGCAGGGAAGAAAAUGACGGUACCUGACUAAGAAGCCCCGGCUAACUACGUGCCAGCAGCCGCGGUAAUACGUAGGGGGCAAGCGUUAUCCGGAUUUACUGGGUGUAAAGGGAGCGUAGACGGCGUUGCAAGUCUGAAG
rnacentral:rRNA from 1 species